rnacentral:rRNA from 1 species
AUACAUGCUCGUCAUACAGUCGUACAGUCGGUGAGUAAUGCUUAGGAAUCUGCCUAUUAGUGGGGGACAAAUUCCGAAAGGAAUGCUAAUACCGCAUACGUCCUACGGGAGAAAGCAGGGGAUCUUCGGACCUUGCGCUAAUAGAUGAGCCUAAGUCGGAUUAGCUAGUUGGUGUACUAAAGGCCUACCAAGGCGACGAUCUGUAGCGGGUCUGAGAGGAUGAUCCGCCACACUGGGACUGAGACACGGCCCAGACUCCUACGGGAGGCAGCAGUGGGGAAUAUUGGACAAUGUGCGGAAGCCUGAUCCAGCCAUGCCGCGUGUGUGAAGAAGGCCUUAUGGUUGUAAAGCACUACAAGCGAGGAGGAGGCUACUCUAGUUAAUACCUAGAGAUAGUGGACGUUACUCGCAGAAUAAGCACCGGCUAACUCUGUGUCAGCAGCCGCGGUAAUACAGAGGGUGCGAGCGUUAAUCGGAUUUACUGGGCGUAAAGCGUGCGUAGGCGGCUGAUUAAGUCGGAUGUGAAAUCCCUGAGCUUAACUUAGGAAUUGCAUUCGAUACUGGUCAGCUAGAUGAUGGGAGUGGAUGGUAGAAUUCCAGGUGUAGCGGUGAAAUGCGUAGAGAUCUGGAGGAAUACCGAUGGCGAAGGCAGCCAUCUGGCCUAAUACUGACGCUGAGGUACGAAAGCAUGGGGAGCAAACAGGAUUAGAUACCCUGGUAGUCCAUGCCGUAGGCGAUGUCUACUAGCCGUUGGGGCCUUUGAGGCUUUAGUGGCGCAGCUAACGCGAUAAGUAGACCGCCUGGGGAGUACGGUCGCAAGACUAAAACUCAAAUGAAUUGACGGGGUACCGCACAAGCGGUGGAGCAUGUGGUUUAAUUCGAUGCAACGCGAAGAACCUUACCUGGUCUUGACAUAGUAAGAACUUUCCAGAGAUGGAUUGGUGCCUUCGGGGGCUUACAUACAGGUGCUGCAUGGCUGUCGUCAGCUCGUGUCGUGAGAUGUUGGGUUAAGUCCCGCAACGAGCGCAACCCUCCUUAUUUGCCAGCGGGUUAAGCCGGGAACUUUAAGGAUACUGCCAGUGACAAACUGGAGGAAGGCGGGGACGACGUCAAGUCAUAGUCAUGGCCCUUACGACCAGGGCUACACACGUGCUACAAUGGUCGGUACAUACGGUUGCUACCUAGCGAUAGGAUGCUAAUCUCAAGAAGCCGAUCGUAGUCCGGAUUGGAGUCUGCAACUCGACUCCAUGAAGUCGGAAUCGCUAGUAAUCGCGGAUCAGAAUGCCGAUGCAUGCAUAACGUGACGUACCA